rnacentral:rRNA from 1 species
UACGGGGGGGGCAAGCGUUGUUCGGAAUUACUGGGCGUAAAGCGUGCGCAGGCGGCUUUGCAAGACAGAUGUGAAAUCCCCGGGCUUAACCUGGGAACUGCAUUUGUGACUGCAUGGCUGGAGUGUGGCAGAGGGGGAUGGAAUUCCGCGUGUAGCAGUGAAAUGCGUAGAUAUGCGGAGGAACACCGAUGGCGAAGGCAAUCCCCUGGGCCUGCACUGACGCUCAUGCACGAAAGCGUGGGGAGCAAACAGG